rnacentral:lncRNA from 1 species
CUUCCAGCCUGGCUUGGUGCAGGCCCUCCAUCCGCAGGCUUGGAUUUUUCAGGGUCUCAGGGUUGGUCUGGCUCAAGAACACUGACUCGUGUUUGCACAUCUCAGAGGAGACUGACACGGGAAACCAGAGUGCCAGUUCAUUAAUUUACAGUGAGUAAUAUAAGUGUCAAGUGGACCAGAUGUUGGCUUCAUCCUGACCAACACAUUCUCUCCCUGUAGGCAAGCUACUUGGGAAGUCAAACAAUCAGAAGGAUGCUUGGGGAACAGGCAGUCAGAACAGGAGCAUGGAGUUUGAUGAUUCCAACGUCCAGCCACACGGGUCUGCUUCUGGAGAAGGAAACGUAAGAGACGAGGAACCAGAAGUAGUUCUAGGAAGCAGAGACUCAGAAUUGGGCCAUGGGAUGGGAAUCUUUACUGGUGGAGAGAAGAUAGUGACAACGUGGGGCCCGUUGCAGCAUCGCAAUGACUAGCGCUCUCGUCUGACCUGGACCAGGCUGAGUGCAGGGAGGGACUUGCUCACACAUCAACAUGAACAUGAAGGAGCUGGGUGAUUGCUGAUGAAAACUAUGGAAUCUGUGAAAUAAAAAGUAACAUCAUAAGAGCCUGGAGGCCUACCUGGAAGCAUUUUUAAGAAGAUCUCUUCUCUUGUAGCCCAAAGGCAAACUUUACUAAAAUUUAAGCCCAAAAUAUGAUUUCAGGAGUGGUAGAGUUUCAGAGAAGAGCUGAGUUUGCUUCCCUGGCAGUUCUCUUACACUAAAGCCACAGAAGUGGGAAGAUCCUGAUACCUGGGCUGGGACACUGGGAAGAUGGUCUUCAGAGUUUAGGCCCUGGACUUCCCUGAGCACUGUCCAGCAGAACCGAUGAACCCUCCCAUCGCCUGGAGACCAUGCGGACUCCACGCCAGGCUGGAGGACUUGCAAGACAGAUGCUGCCUGCCCUCCUUAACAUCAGCACCUCCCCUCUCAGUGCUGCCAGACCAAUAACAAGACAAAAUCUCAGCAUGGUUCAACCAGGAAAACUCCGCAUUGGCUCCAGAGGGAAGGGCUCAUUGUAAAAGGAAACUGAGAGGACAUGACCAGGAAUGGAUACGGGGUAUGCUAGACCAGGGAGGGUGGCAGAUACAGCUGGGCAGGGCGAGGCCAUUGAUUUAGAAACACUUUCUCAUGACUCAGAAUUUAACAUCUUAGAAGAAAAUCUGCAGCCAAUCCAAAAUGUGGGUGGAAUCACUACUAAACUUGGAAACCAUGAUUAUUUACAUUAGCAUUGGCCCUCAACUCGGGUUGUUUUGU